CUAGACUGAAAGCUGCCGCGGGGAAUGCCGGGACCUUCGGAAGGCCUGACGCAUGCGCAAUGGCUCAGCCCCCACCAACGGGCGGGGCGGAGUACGCAGGCGCUUCCUAAAGGACCUUUCGGUUUCUCUGGUUUCCGCCUUCCGCUAAUCGACAGCCCUCCUCACCAAUGAAUCGACAGGAUCUUCUUCGUGUCGUGCCCUGGAGCCAAUCGGGGUAUUUAAGCAAACGGAGGGUGUGGGAAGCCGGGCUUUAGACGUUUGUUAACUCUCUCCUAUUGGUUACUGCUCUUCUGUUGGCCAGGCGCUUCCGCUUCCUGACUUGGAUGGGUUUUCCUUCCAACACCGGUGUUGCUCAGAGGGUUUUCCAGAUUGGAGUAUUCUGGAUUUGUUUUGAAGAGGGAGCUGGUGGAUUGCGAUGUUGAGUGUGAGGGUAAGAAUUGGGCUGAGAGAGAGCCCAAUGUGGAGCCCAACCCCGGAUCUAUCUCACAACCCCGGGAUCUUGACCUGAGCUGAAAUCAAGAGUCAGACACAUAACCGACUGAGCCUCCCAGGCAUGCCAUGAA